UCCCCAAAAAGACGUUGUGUUUGUUUCCUCCUCCAUCCUUCACCGAGCUUUGAAAAGGAAAUUCAACCGAACCCAAUUCUCAAUCAGCAUGAAAUUCAUCCGAACCCAAUCCUUCAUCCCACGCAUCCCCACCCUUUACCGAUCUUCCUUAGGAAACCCAACGUUGCCCUUCACCGAUCUUCCUCGGGUCUAGUUGAUUGCGUUGGUUUGCCAUGUCGAAUAGCUCAAGGAUGCAAGUACUGCACAUUUCCACAUCGUUCUUCUUGUCUUGUUUAAUUUCUUAUAAAGUUAAUAGCAUAUUUACUUAAUUGAUACAACUUGUUUCAGUUUACAGGUCACUUCAUUUAUUCAUUGAUAUGAGCACAUACUACUUUUGAACUAAAAAUAAAUAAAAGUGUAACUUUUCCUUU